GAGUUUGAUCCUGGCUCAGAUUGAACGCUGGCGGCAGGCCUAACACAUGCAAGUCGAACGGUAACAGGAAGAAGCUUGCUUCUUUGCUGACGAGUGGCGGACGGGUGAGUAAUGUCUGGGAAACUGCCUGAUGGAGGGGGAUAACUACUGGAAACGGUAGCUAAUACCGCAUAACGUCGCAAGACCAAAGAGGGGGACCUUCGGGCCUCUUGCCAUCGGAUGUGCCCAGAUGGGAUUAGCUAGUAGGUGGGGUAACGGCUCACCUAGGCGACGAUCCCUAGCUGGUCUGAGAGGAUGACCAGGCACACUGGAACUGAGACACGGUCCAGACUCCUACGGGAGGCAGCAGUGGGGAAUAUUGCACAAUGGGCGCAAGCCUGAUGCAGCCAUGCCGCGUGUAUGAAGAAGGCCUUCGGGUUGUAAAGUACUUUCAGCGGGGAGGAAGGGAGUAAAGUUAAUACCUUUGCUCAUU
rnacentral:rRNA from 1 species